rnacentral:rRNA from 1 species
GACGAACGCUGGCGGCGUGCCUAAUACAUGCAAGUAGAACGCUGAAGGAGGAGCUUGCUUCUCUGGAUGAGUUGCGAACGGGUGAGUAACGCGUAGGUAACCUGCCUGGUAGCGGGGGAUAACUAUUGGAAACGAUAGCUAAUACCGCAUAAUAGUAGAUGUUGCAUGACAUUUACUUAAAAGGUGCAAUUGCAUCACUACCAGAUGGACCUGCGUUGUAUUAGCUAGUUGGUGGGGUAACGGCUCACCAAGGCGACGAUACAUAGCCGACCUGAGAGGGUGAUCGGCCACACUGGGACUGAGACACGGCCCAGACUCCUACGGGAGGCAGCAGUAGGGAAUCGUCGGCAAUGGACGAAAGUCUGACCGAGCAACGCCGCGUGAGUGAAGAAGGUUUUCGGAUCGUAAAGCUCUGUUGUAAGAGAAGAACGAGUGUGAGAGUGGAAAGUUCACACUGUGACGGUAUCUUACCAGAAAGGGACGGCUAACUACGUG